UGGGGAAUAUUGCACAAUGGGGGAAACCCUGAUGCAGCGACGCCGCGUGAACGAAGAAGGUAUUCGUAUCGUAAAGUUCUGUCCUAUGGGAAGAUAAUGACAGUACCAUAGAAGAAAGCUCCGGCUAAAUACGUGCCAGCAGCCGCGGUAAUACGUAUGGAGCGAGCGUUGUCCGGAAUUAUUGGGCGUAAAGGGUACGCAGGCGGUUUAAUAAGUCGAAUGUUAAAGAUCGGGGCUCAACCCCGCAAAGCAUUGGAAACUGAUAAACUUGAGUAGUGGAGAGGAAAGUGGAAUUCCUAGUGUAGUGGUGAAAUACGUAGAUAUUAGGAGGAAUACCAGUAGCGAAGGCGACUUUCUGGACACAAACUGACGCUGAGGUACGAAAGCGUGGGGAGCAAACAGGA
rnacentral:rRNA from 1 species